GGGCGAGUGGCGGAAUGGCAGACGCGCUGGCUUCAGGAGUCAGUGGGAGCAAUCCCGUGGAGGUUCGACUCCUCUCUCGCUCA
rnacentral:tRNA from 1 species